rnacentral:rRNA from 1 species
UACGGAGUGUGCAAGCGUUACUCGGAAUCACUGGGCAUAAAGCGCGCGUAGGCGGGCUUUCAAGUCGGUUGUGAAAUCCCUCAGCUCAACUGAGGAACUGCAUCCGAUACUGUUUGUCUUGAGGACGAGAGGGGAGAGUGGAACUUCUGGUGGAGCGGUGAAAUGCGUAGAUAUCAGAAGGAACGCCGGGUGGCGAAAAGCGACUCUCUGGCUCGUAUCUGACGCUGAGGCGCGAAAAGCUUAGGGGAGCAAAACGGG